UACGGAGGGUGCAAGCGUUAAUCGGAAUUACUGGGCGUAAAGCGUGCGUAGGCGGUUCGUUAAGUCUGUUGUGAAAGCCCCGGGCUCAACCUGGGAAUGGCCGUUGAAACUGGCGAACUGGAGUGUGGCAGAGGGGGGUGGAACUCCGCGUGUAGCAGUGAAAUGCGUAGAGAUGCGGAGGAACACCGAUGGCGAAGGCAGCCCCCUGGGCUAACACUGACGCUCAGGCACGAAAGCGUGGGGAGCAAACAGG
rnacentral:rRNA from 1 species